rnacentral:rRNA from 1 species
UACGGAGGGGGCGAGCGUUAUUCGGAAUUAUUGGGCGUAAAGGGCGCGUAGGCGGCUUGAUGUGUCAAAGGUGAAAUCCCUCGGCUCAACUGAGGAACUGCCUUUGAAACUGUCUGGCUUGAGGCCGGGAGAGGGUAGCGGAAUUCCCAGUGUAGCGGUGAAAUGCGUAGAUACUGGGAGGAACACCGGUGGCGAAGGCGGCUACCUGGACCGGUUCUGACGCUGAUGCGCGAAAGCCAGGGGAGCAAACGGG